rnacentral:rRNA from 1 species
UUUCGGUGUAGGAUGAGGCUAUAUCGUAUCAGCUAGUUGGUAGGGUAACGGCCUACCAAGGCUAUGACGCGUAACUGGUCUGAGAGGAUGAUCAGUCACACUGGAACUGAGACACGGUCCAGACUCCUACGGGAGGCAGCAGUAGGGAAUAUUGCUCAAUGGGGGAAACCCUGAAGCAGCAACGCCGCGUGGAGGAUGACACUUUUCGGAGCGUAAACUCCUUUCUUGGGAAAGAAUUAUGACGGUACCCAAGGAAUAAGCACCGGCUAACUCCGUGCCAGCAGCCGCGGUAUACGGAGGGUGCAGCGUUACUCGGAAUCACUGGGCGUAAAGGACGCGUAGGCGGAUUAUCAAGUCUCUUGUGAAAUCUAACGGCUUAACCGUUAAACUGCUUGGGAAACUGAUAAUCUAGAGUAAGGGAGAGGCAGAUGGAAUUCUUGGUGUAGGGGUAAAAUCCGUAGAGAUCAAGAAGAAUACCCAUUGCGAAAGCGAUCUGCUGGAACUUAACUGACGCUAAUGCGUGAAAGCGUGGGGAGCAAACAGGAUUAGAUACCCUGGUAGUCCACGCCCUAAACGAUGUAUACUAGUUGUUGCUUCGCUAGUCGAGGCAGUAAUGCACCUAACGGAUUAAGUAUACCGCCUGGGGAGUACGGUCGCAAGAUUAAAACUCAAAGGAAUAGACGGGGACCCGCACAAGCGGUGGAGUGGUUUAAUUCGAUACGCGAAGAACCUUACCCGGACUUGAUAUCUAACAAAUCAUCCAGAGAUGGAAGAGUGUCUGCUUGCAGAAAUGUUAAGACAGGUGCUGCACGGCUGUCGUCAGCUCGUGUCGUGAGAUGUUGGGUUAAGUCCCGCAACGAGCGCAACCCA